rnacentral:lncRNA from 1 species
UGGAGGUGUCAAAAGUACCCUGAGUUGCUUCCAAAAAAAGGAUGGUACGGCCAUGCUUGCUCGACUUGGCGAGGGCAAUGCCGUGCCCCCAGAUACCUAAAUACAUACUAAGUCCACAUAACAUUAUACAUAGCAACAUACAAAACAACUACAAUAAAUAUUUACAGCAUAUAAUUUAUCGUUUUGAAUAUUUAAUUAAUUCUAAACGUCUAAUAUUAAAUAGAUCAUUCCGUAUCAUCUCCUGUUUGUCAAUUAACCGAAAAGGAAAUGAUCGCUUACAUAAAUCUAGUCUAACAGUCUUAUAAGUUAAUAACACAUUAGAUCUCAAUCUAAGGUCAGGCAUUUUAAACGAAAUAUCAAUAUCAUUUAUAUUAGAAUUUAAAUAAUAAUAUAAUAAUUUUAUAUCGUAAUAAAGAAUUCGAUGAUCAAUAUUCAUCUGUUUUAUUCGGGGCUGUCUGCUACGAAACUCUCGGCAGACAGCCCCGAAGAUUACAAUUUGAUGGGCUUUGGUCGUUCGGUCGCGAUGGUAUUUCCUCCUCCUCAUAUAUGUCUCGUCCACCUAGUCGAUGAAGGGAAAUGGAAGCGCUCGUUAAUGACCCCGCAUUCAAGAGGAGCAGUAAGAAGCUGGAGCAUUUCAUCGCUGCCAGUCCAUUAUGAACGAAAUCGCAGCUACCUCGACGUGUACUCCCGGCCCGCCGAUUUUGAUUGAUGAAUUCGAUAACGUUAUUUCGGCAACCUCGCAGUAAAAGCUGUAAUAGUCUACUGCUGUUAGCCUGCUCACCCCUACAAACUGCUUCGCGGUUGUAUCGAGAAACUUUCAAACCCAGCAGUAGACUAUUUGUACCAUCUGGAAAAUAAAAAAAAGUAUCAUCAGCAGCGGCAAACAAGCAGUCCCUGCGACGGCGUGCACACAACGGCAUAGCCGGCGCCGGGACCAACGGGGUUAAAUAUCAG